AUUGAACGCUGGCGGAAUGCUUUACACAUGCAAGUCGAACGGCAGCACGGACUUCGGUCUGGUGGCGAGUGGCGAACGGGUGAGUAAUACAUCGGAACGUGCCCAAUCGUGGGGGAUAACGUAGCGAAAGCUACGCUAAUACCACAUACGAUCUAAGGAUGAAAGCGGGGGAUCGCAAGACCUCGCGCGAUUGGAGCGGCCGAUGGCAGAUUAGGUAGUUGGUAGGGUAAAGGCCUACCAAGCCGACGAUCUGUAGCUGGUCUGAGAGGAUGAUCAGCCACGCUGGGACUGAGACACGGCCCAGACUCCUACGGGAGGCAGCAGUGGGGAAUUUUGGACAAUGGACGCAAGUCUGAUCCAGCCAUUCCGCGUGCAGGAUGAGGGCCCUCGGGUUGUAAACUGCUUUUGUACAGAACGAAAAGGCUCUGGUUAAUACCUAGGGCUCAUGACGGUACUGUAAGAAUAAGCACCGGCUAACUACGUGCCAGCAGCCGCCGCGG
rnacentral:rRNA from 1 species